rnacentral:rRNA from 1 species
AUUGAACGCUGGCGGCAUGCCUUACACAUGCAAGUCGAACGGCAGCACGGGAGCAAUCCUGGUGGCGAGUGGCGAACGGGUGAGUAAUAUAUCGGAACGUGCCCAGUAGUGGGGGAUAACUGCUCGAAAGAGCAGCUAAUACCGCAUACGACCUGAGGGUGAAAGGGGGGGAUCGCAAGACCUCUCGCUAUUGGAGCGGCCGAUAUCAGAUUAGCUAGUUGGUGGGGUAAAGGCCUACCAAGGCAACGAUCUGUAGUUGGUCUGAGAGGACGACCAGAGACACUGGGACAGGGACACGACCCAGCCUCCUACGGGAGGCAGCAGUGGGGAAUUGUGGACAAUGGGCGCAAGCCUGAUCCAGCAAUGCCGCGUGCAGGAAGAAUGCCUUCGGGUUGUAAACUGCUUUUGUCAGGGAAGAAAUCCUCUAGGUUAAUACCCUUGGGGGGAUGACGGUACCUGAAGAAUAAGCACCGGCUAACUACGUGCCAGCCGCCGCCGUAACAC